rnacentral:rRNA from 1 species
UACGGAGGGGGCUAGCGUUGUUCGGAAUUACUGGGCGUAAAGCGCACGUAGGCGGCUUUGUAAGUUAGAGGUGAAAGCCCAGGGCUCAACCCUGGAAUUGCCUUUAAGACUGCAUCGCUUGAACAUCGGAGAGGUAAGUGGAAUUCCGAGUGUAGAGGUGAAAUUCGUAGAUAUUCGGAAGAACACCCGUGGCGAAGGCGGUUCUCUGGGACGGUACUGACGCUGAGACGCGAAAGCGUGGGGAGCGAACAGG